UACCAGCACCCCGAGUGGUCGGGACGAUUAUUGGGCCUAAAGCAUCCGUAGCCGGUCCUACAAGUCUUCCGUUAAAUCCACCUGCUUAACAGAUGGGCUGCGGAAGAUACUAUAGGGCUAGGAGGCGGGAGAGGCAAGCGGUACUCAGUGGGUAGGGGUAAAAUCCUCUGAUCCAUUGAAGACCACCAGUGGCGAAGGCGGCUUGCCAGAACGCGCUCGACGGUGAGGGAUGUAAGCUGGGGGAGCAAACCGG
rnacentral:rRNA from 1 species